CCUAAAUAUUUAUAUUCUGUAUCUUUUUGAAUUAAAACAUCAUAAAAUGUUAUUCAAGGCAUCAGGCGUUUCCAUCACGCGAAAAGACCGACGCGACACUCGUUUAGGUGACUCACAUCGCUCCCCUGUAUGUUGCUUUGCAUAAAAUUAAACGAUAUACAGAACAAUAACAAAUUUUAGAUAAAAUAAAAUGUACACAAACCUGUAUUUUACCGAAGACAUGCACCAAUUUGACAGAGCUGCACCGCUCUCUCCUGAAGAGGGCGCAAAAAGCCCGCAAUAAAUAACUCAACCCCUGGGUUGUUACGUCUGACCCAGGAUCUGGGUAACACAAAAACUACCCAAACGCUGGGUUGUUAUGUCUGACCCAGGAUCUGACUGACACAAAAACUACCCAAACGCUGGGUUGUUACGUCUGACCCAGGAUCUGAGUAACACAAAAACUACCCAAACGCUGGGUUGUUACGUUUGACCCAGGAUCUGAGUAACACAAAAACUACCCAAACUCUGGGUUGUUACGUUUGACCCAGGAUCUGGGUAACACAAAAACUACCCAAACGCUGGGUUGUUACGUCUGACCCAGGAUCUGAGUAACACAAAAACUACCCAAACGCUGGGUUGUUACGUCUGACCCAGGAUCUGGGUAACACAAAAACUACCCAAACGCUGGGUUGUUACGUCUGACCCAGGAUCUGGGUAACACAAAAACUACCCAAACACUGGGUUGUUACGUCUGACCCAGGAUCUGGGUAACACAAAAACUACCCAAACGCUGGGUUGUUAUGUCUGACCCAGGAUCUGACUGACACAAAAACUACCCAAACGCUGGGUUGUUACGUCUGACCCAGGAUCUGAGUAACACAAAAACUACCCAAACGCUGGGUUGUUACGUCUGACCCAGGAUCUGACUGACACAAAAACUACCCAAACGCUGGGUUGUUACGUCUGACCCAGGAUCUGAGUAACACAAAAACUACCCAAACGCUGGGUUGUUACGUUUGACCCAGGAUCUGGGUAACACAAAAACUACCCAAACUCUGGGUUGUUACGUCUGACCCAGGAUCUGAGUAACACAAAAACUACCCAAACGCUGGGUUGUUACGUCUGACCCAGGAUCUGAGUAACACAAAAACUACCCAAACGCUGGGUUGUUACGUCUGACCCAGGAUCUGGGUAACACAAAAACUACCCAAACGCUGGGUUGUUACGUUUGACCCAGGAUCUGAGUAACACAAAAACUACCCAAACACUGGGUUGUUACGUCUGACCCAGGAUCUGGGUAACACAAAAACUACCCAAACGCUGGGUUGUUACGUUUGACCCAGGAUCUGAGUAACACAAAAACUACCCAAACACUGGGUUGUUACAUCUGACCCAGGAUCUGGGUAACACAAAAACUACCCAAACACUGGGUUGUUACGUCUGACCCAGGAUCUGGUAACACAAAAACUACCCAAACACUGGGUUGUUACGUCUGACCCAGGAUCUGAGUAACACAAAAACUACCCAAACUCUGGGUUGUUACGUCUGACCCAGGAUCUGGUAACACAAAAACUACCCAAACUCUGGGUUGUUACGUCUGACCCAGGAUCUGGUAACACAAAAACUACCCAAACUCUGGGUUGUUACGUCUGACCCAGGAUCUGAGUAACACAAAAACUACCCAAACUCUGGGUUGUUACGUCUGACCCAGGAUCUGGUAACACAAAAACUACCCAAACACUGGGUUGUUAUGUCUGACCCAGGAUCUGGUAACACAAAAACUACCCAAACUCUGGGUUGUUAUGUCUGACCCAGGAUCUGGUAACACAAAAACUACCCAAACACUGGGUUGUUACGUCUGACCCAGGAUCUGAGUAACACAAAAACUACCCAAACGCUGGGUUGUUACGUCUGACCCAGGAUCUGGUAACACAAAAACUACCCAAACUCUGGGUUGUUACGUCUGACCCAGGAUCUGGUAACACAAAAACUACCCAAACUCUGGGUUGUUACGUCUGACCCAGGAUCUGGUAACACAAAAACUACCCAAACGCUGGGUUGUUACGUCUGACCCAGGAUCUGGGUAACACAAAAACUACCCAAACGCUGGGUUGUUACGUCUGACCCAGGAUCUGGGUAACACAAAAACUACCCAAACGCUGG